UACGUAGGGGCAAGGCGUUGUCCGGAAUCAUUGGCGUAAGCGCGUGUAGGCGGUCCGGUAAGUCCGCUGUGAAAGUCGGGGCUUAACCCUCGGAUGCCGGUGGAUACUGUCGGGCUUGAGUACGGAAGAGGCGAGUGGAAUUCCUGGUGUAGCGGUGAAAUGCGCAGGAUAUCAAGGAGGAACACCAAUUGCGAAGGCAGCUCGCUGGGACGUUAACUGACGCCUGAGACGCGAAGCGUGGGGAGCAAACAGG
rnacentral:rRNA from 1 species